ensembl:lncRNA
CAGCUGACAACUGUCAUAAUCCUAAAAUAUCCAAAAACAACUGCUAGCUAUGGAUGGGAUUGGGAAAAUACAACGUUGUGCCGAAAAUUUUAAAGCGGACGAAAUAGAAAAGUUGGUGAGUUUAGUAGAAAGCUCAAAGGAAAUAUUGUAUGGGAAAUUUUCUAUGAGUCUGACCAAAGAAAAGAAAGACCAAGAAUGGCUGAAAAUAGCCGAAAAGGUGAGCACCGUAUCAGGGAUCAGUAGAAACGUUGAAAACGUCAAGAAAAAAAUUACCACACUCACAAGUGUCGUUAAGAAUUAAGCAAGGUUAAUUUGUAAAGACCGGAGAAUUACCGGUGGUGGCAACUCUUCCGCUACCCCCAUGACACCGGCGGAGGACCGGAUUGUGGGACUCCUCAGCAAGGCUGACUACGAGGGCAUCGAUGGAGGCUUUGAGACUGGGUUGCCAGUGGACUUCUUGGAGACCACAACUUCAGUCAGUGAAGUUGUUGAAGUCGAUGCUACACAACCGCCUCCUGGUAAGAUGUUAGGCUACUUGUAAGACGUUGUGAUGAUGAUGACUUGGGGUCAUAUGUCAGCUAAACUGUCAUUUAUCUCGUCAUUCAUAAUCUGUUUAUAGCUUAAAUGACAUUACAUGAAUGUGCAUACAUUAAAUCAUCUAACAUAUCUGGCACCAGGAUUAUUUCCCUUUUAUUGGUAUGCUAAUCAGAAU